UAAAAUAAAAAGCAAAGAGAGGAGGAAGACCAACUCCAGGAUUAAAGAUGUAAAGAAGAAGAUGUAAAUAAUGAAGAGGAAGGAGAGGAAGAGAAGGUGAAGGAGAAGAGGGAGGACGUGUUUCUGGAGUCCUGCAGGAAGGACGUGUUUCUGGAGUCCUGCAGGGAGGACGUGUUUCUGGAGUCCGUCCUGCAGGGAGGACGUGUUUCUGGAGUCCUGCAGGGAGGACGUGUUUCUGGAGUCCUGCAGGGAGGACGUGUUUCUGGAGUCCUGCAGGGAGGACGUUGUUUCUGGAGUCCUGCAGGUGAGGACGUGUUUCUAGAGUCCUGCAGGGAGGACGUGUUUCUAGAGUCCUGCAGGGAGGACGUGUUUCUGGAGUCCGACCCGGAAGUUAGCAUCACUGCUUCCCUCACAAAACGCUAACAGGAUUUUGGAUUAAAGCAGAAAAUAACAAACGUUUCUGGUAUUUACACGUGUUGUUCAGCAGGAUGAUCUCCACAGAUUAUUUAACACCUUUAUGAUUUUUGAAUCUUAAAUUCAAUCUCCAGAAGUAAGAAGCUAAUGUUCGGCUACAAAGGAGCUACAGCAGGUCACAUGAUGUCACGUCACCACCGCUAAGCUAACGGCGGCUAAUGUUAGCUUGAUGACGUUUAGUCUCAUUUAGCCGCUCGUUAGUGACCGACACGUAGAAGCUGCAGAGACUCACGAGUCGGGGAGUUACUGACAUGUUUUAUAACGUAGAACAAAACGUUGAAAUGUCUUCAGCUGGUGUUAAACACACAUUAUUUCAGGCUUCUAACCAAAGAUACAUCGACUUCCAGACGAGGGAACAGGAAGUGCUAAAAUACUGACUCAUUCAGGGUUUUAGGCUUCUGCAGCUCUCUGUACGCUCUUAGUUGUAGGUUGUUAAGAAGCAGCGUGGCUGUAAAUGUUAUGUUUUGACGAUUGUUGCGUGAUCUCACAUAUCCAGCUGCCUCGCAGAGUCACCUGAUUUGUGACGACGUGGAGGAGGUGACGUUGAAUCAGGACGAGGAGGAACUCUGGUCACAUGAUUACAGACAUUUGAACAGUAAUGUGUCGACUUUUCCAAAUGAAUGAUGAGCAAAACCUGCAGGAAAAGUCGAGUCUCUCUUUCUUUUGGAGAACUCUGAAGAACACAUUUGUGUGAUUGUUAUAUUACUUUAUAGUGAAUGAAGUCAGGCUGCUGUUUAUUUCUUGAAACCUGAAACUUGAAAUUAUUGUUCUGCUUCUUUUUUCACUGUUUUGAGUUUUUUACUCUCAUGUGAUGCAAAUAAUGAAAUGUGUUGAAGUACGGCUAUUUUAAACCAUUUAUUAAUGAAUUUGCAGAACAAAGACUGAAUCAUAUUUACUGUCACUGUGAUAUAAAAUAACAUAUGCUGUGAUAUAAUCCCCCCCAUGGUCUCCUGGGAGGAAGUCCUGUGCUCCUACAACCACUUUAUCACAUGUUAAAGUUCUUAUUGUGCUGCGUAACGUUAAAGUUAAAGUACGUCACGGGUUUUACAGAAACGUACACUGCCAACAUGUUGUGCUGGCGACUGGCUGUGUGUGGUUGAUGAGACUCCUCGUUUGGACCCCGACAGGAAGGCCAGAGGUCCAUCCGGCAGCACGAGUCCGUCCUUUGGUCACGAUGAAGAUGAAACACCCUCCUCCUCCUCUUCCGCCCCGUGUGAAGCAUCCCCUCUUUGUCUCGCUCUCUUGUCGUCUCUCUCAUCUCUGAUGCAAACCACUCGAAGCUCUGGCCCAGAUUAAAGAGAGCAGCUCCAGUGAAAGGAGGA
ensembl:lncRNA